rnacentral:rRNA from 1 species
AUUGAACGCUGGCGGCAGGCCUAACACAUGCAAGUCGAACGAGUGGCGGACGGGUGAGUAAUGUCUGGGAAACUGCCUGAUGGAGGGGGAUAACUACUGGAACCGGUAGCUAAUACCGCAUACCAUCGGAUGUGCCCAGAGGGGAUUAGCUAGUAGGUGGGGUAAAGGCUCACCUAGGCGACGAUCCCUAGCUGGUCUGAGAGGAUGACCAGCGACACUGGAACUGAGACAGGGUCCAGACUCCUACGGGAGGCAGCAGGGGGGAAUAUUGCACAAGGGGGGCAAGCCUGAUGCAGCCAUGCGGCGUGUAUGAAGAAGGCCUUCGGGGUGGAAAGUACUUUCAGCGGGGAGGCGUUACCCGCAGAAGAAGCACCGGCUAACUCCGUGCCAGCAGCCGCGGUAAUAC